rnacentral:misc_RNA from 1 species
AAGACUAUAGACCUGCGGAGUACCUGCGGAGGGAUCAUUCACAAUAAGUGUUUUAUGGCACUUUAAUUCCAUAUCCACCUUGUGUGCAACGUAGUUCGUUUUUCGAACAAAACAUCAACAUUUUAAUUAUCAACAGAUCGUCUGAAGUAUUAUAUGAAUAAAUCAAUUCAAAAUGCAACUUUCAACAAUGGAUCUCU